UGGGGAAUCUUAGACAAUGGGCGCAAGCCUGAUCUAGCCAUGCCGCGUGGGUGAUGAAGGCCUUAGGGUCGUAAAGCCCUUUCGCCGGGGAAGAUAAUGACGGUACCCGGUAAAGAAACCCCGGCUAACUCCGUGCCAGCAGCCGCGGUAAUACGGAGGGGGUUAGCGUUGUUCGGAAUGACUGGGCGUAAAGCGCGCGUAGGCGGAUCGGAAAGUCGGGGGUGAAAUCCCGGGGCUCAACCCCGGAAUGGCCUUCGAAACUCCCGGUCUUGAGUUCGAGAGAGGUGAGUGGAAUUCCGAGUGUAGAGGUGAAAUUCGUAGAUAUUCGGAGGAACACCAGUGGCGAAGGCGGCUCACUGGCUCGACACUGACGCUGAGGUGCGAAAGCGUGGGGAGCAAACA
rnacentral:rRNA from 1 species